rnacentral:rRNA from 1 species
UACGUAGGGUGCGAGCGUUGUCCGGAAUCAUUGGGCGUAAAGAGCUUGUAGGCGGUUUGUCGCGUCUGCUGUGAAAAUCCGGGGCUCAACCCCGGACUUGCAGUGGGUACGGGCAGACUAGAGUGUGGUAGGGGAGACUGGAAUUCCUGGUGUAGCGGUGAAAUGCGCAGAUAUCAGGAGGAACACCGAUGGCGAAGGCAGGUCUCUGGGCCACUACUGACGCUGAGAAGCGAAAGCAUGGGGAGCGAACAGGAUUAGA